UACAGAGGGGGCAAGCGUUGUUCGGAAUUACUGGGCGUAAAGGGCGCGUAGGUGGCCUUCUAAGUUGAACGUGAAAUCCCUGGGCUCAACCCAGGAACUGCGUCCAAGACUGGGAGGCUUGAAUCCGGGAGAGGGAUGCGGAAUUCCAGGUGUAGCGGUGAAAUGCGUAGAUAUCUGGAGGAACACCGGUGGCGAAGGCGGCAUCCUGGACCAAUUCUGACGCUGAGUGAGCGAAAGCCAGGGGAGCAAACGGG
rnacentral:rRNA from 1 species